rnacentral:rRNA from 1 species
UACGUAGGGUGCAAGCGUUAAUCGGAAUUACUGGGCGUAAAGCGUGCGCAGGCGGUGAUGUAAGACCGAUGUGAAAUCCCCGGGCUCAACCUGGGGAUUGCGAUGGAGACUGCAAGGCUAGAAUCUGGCAGAGGGGGGUAGAAUUCCACGUGUAGCAGUGAAAUGCGUAGAGAUGUGGAGGAACACCGAUGGCGAAGGCAGCCCCCUGGGUCAAGAUUGACGCUCAUGCACGAAAGCGUGGGGAGCAAACAGG